rnacentral:rRNA from 1 species
AUUGAACGCUGGCGGCAGGCCUAACACAUGCAAGUCGAACGAGUGGCGGACGGGUGAGUAAUGUCUGGGAAACUGCCUGAUGGAGGGGGAUAACUAAUGGAAACGGUAGCUAAUACCGCAUAACAUCAGAUGUGCCCAGAUGGGAUUAGAUAGUUGGUGGGGUAACGGCACACCAAGGCGACGAGCCCUAGCUGGUCGUAGAGGAUGACCAGCCACACUGGAACUGAGACACGGGCCAGACUCCUACGUGAGGCAGCAGUGGGGAAUAUUGCACAAUGGGCGCAAGCCUGAUGCAGCCAUGCCGCGUGUAUGAAGAAGGCCUUCGGGGUGUAAAGUACUUUCAGCGGGGAGGCGUUACCCGCAGAAGAAGCACCGGCUAACUCCGUGCCAGCCGCCGCGGUAAUUC